CGAACGCUGGCGGCAGGCCUAAUACAUGCAAGUCGAACGGCUCUUCGGAGCAGUGGCGGACGGGUGAGUAACGCGUGGGAAUGUGCCCUUUGGUACGGAACAACACAGGGAAACUUGUGCUAAUACCGUAUGUGCCCUUCGGGGGAAAGAUUUAUCGCCAUUGGAGCAGCCCGCGUUGGAUUAGGUAGUUGGUGAGGUAAAGGCUCACCAAGCCUACGAUCCAUAGCUGGUCUGAGAGGAUGACCAGCCACACUGGGACUGAGACACGGCCCAGACUCGUACGGGAGGCAGCAAUAGGGAAUCUUGCGCAAUGGGAGAAAGCCUGACGCAGCCAUGCCGCGUGUAUGAUGAAGGUCUUAGGAUUGUAAAAUACUUUCACCGGGGAAGAUAAUGACGGUACCCGGAGAAGAAGCCCCGGCUAACUUCAUGCCAGCCGCCGCGGUAAAAC
rnacentral:rRNA from 1 species